rnacentral:rRNA from 1 species
AUUACCCAAUCCUGACACAGGGAGGUAGUGACAAGAAAUAACAAUACGGGGCUUAAUGUCUUGUAUUGGAAUGAUGGGAAUUUAAACCUCUUCCAGAGUAUCAAUUGGAGGGCAAGUCUGGUGCCAGCAGCCGCGGUAAUUCCAGCUCCAAUAGCGUAUAUUAAAAUUGUUGCAGUUAAAAAGCUCGUAGUUGAAUUUCUGCUGCAUUGCUUUUGCUCCUUUACGAGUCUUUGCAUUGUGGCUUAUUUCGGACUUUGUUUUACAAUGUCCGGAUGUUUACUUUGAGAAAAUUAGAGUGCUCAAAGCAGGCUUUCGCCUUGAAUAGUUUAGCAUGGAAUAAUAAAGUAGGACUUUGGUUCUAUUUUGUUGGUUUUAGGUACCAAAGUAAUGGUUAAUAGGAACAGUUGGGGGCAUUCGUAUUUAA